CCCACAUUUGAUAAGGAACUUCUCUCCCUAAAUAAGGAAGAUCGUCUACUGCACUGGCUUGUUGUGAAACACUGGAAUGCUAUAUGGAUUGGAAUUUAUUAACGAGGACGAAGGGAGAGAUGUUCCGAAGUGAUCGCUUGUACAAUAAGAGAGAUGACGACGACGAUGAUGAUGAUGAUGAUGGCGAUGAAGAAUAUGAUGUGGAAUGGGCAGCAUACCCGGAAUACGGAACAGAUAAGAGGGCAUCAAGAACUCUCGAUAUGAAUGUGUGUAGUUCCCCCAAUGAG
rnacentral:lncRNA from 1 species